rnacentral:rRNA from 1 species
AUACGUAGGAUGCGAGCGUUAUCCGGAUUUAUUGGGUUUAAAGGGAGCGUAGGCGGGAGCUUAAGUCAGCGGUUAAAUGGUGCGGCUCAACCGUGCCCUGCCGUUGAAACUGGGUUUCUUGAGAGUGCAAGAGGCGGAUGGAAUUCAUGGUGUAGCGGUGAAAUGCUUAGAUAUCAUGAAGAACUCUGAUUGCGAAGGCAGUCCGCUGGGGCACGUCUGACGCUGAUGCUCGAAGGGGCGGGAAUCAAACAGGAUUAGAUACCCUGGUAGUCCGCACGGUAAACGAUGAUUACCCGCUGUCGGCGGCAGACAGUCGGCGGCCAAGCGAAAGCGAUAAGUAAUCCACCUGGGGAGUACGCCGGCAACGGUGAAACUCAAAUGAAUUGACGGGG